rnacentral:misc_RNA from 1 species
GUAUCUCGAAAUCUCGAUCGCAACAAGGAGUUCGCCGAGCGCUUUUGCGGAAUCGAGUUUAAGUCCGAGUCGAAGCGGGAAUAAAUGUGCGAGAAAAAUGGGAUUACCGUACAGCGACAAUGAGCCGCGUCACGAGUCGCGGCAGCGGACGACCGUGUAGUUCAACGAGUUCAGCCGUACAGUCGGAAACGCCGAGAUCGCCCGGCACGAGCGGGGCUCCGAGGCGUUGUCGCCUUGUUCUCUGACAAUCGCUGGAGAAAACCUCGUCCCUGGAGAGCUCUUGCCGGUGAAAGACGUGGGGAGGAUUAUCGCGAUCACGAAGCGUCACGCCGAGCCUCGCGGGCUGUUCGGCGAGUCGAGCCGACAUGAGCCAAACGUACGAGCGAACGACUUGCGUCACCAGUCGUACGGACGGCCCUGUCAGCUGAUCGUUAUUAAACAACGAGAUGUGAGCAGCGGACACAUCCUCCUCGCCAAGCCAUAACCGUACGAUCACGCAUCACGCUCUCGAUUAUCGCGGCCUGAUUCCUUCGCAUACAUUAAGACUAAGUGUGAUUCGCGCGCAAGUGGGAGCGGAACACUCACCGGUGGAAUUUACAUGGAAAUAUGGGAAAUAAGAAUAGCUGUUGUGUUUACUCCAGUCCGCAGGUUGGACGCAAGGAGGUAGGACCCGAAGGUACCACGCGCAAUCUGGAGGAACGCUUACCCGAGGGCGGUAUCAGUGUUAAUAAUUUGCAACAUAUCAGUGAGCGUGAGCCGGAAGAUUGGGACUCGGAUCCGUCGCUGCAUCCGUGCGCUGGGACCAUUUUCAUGGAACGCUCCAAGCAAGCUAUCGAGAAUGGCAUGGUAAGAAAAAAGAGUCAACAUCAAAUAGCGGAUAUAAGACCCUUAAAGAAAAGUAGCAGUUGCAGUACAAUAUAUCUAGAUGACAGUACGGUCUCGCAACCUAAUUUAAAGAAUACCGUCAAGUGCGUUGCCUUAGCUAUUUAUUACCACAUUAAAAACCGAACUUCGCAGCGGCAGAUUGAUAUAUUCGAUGAAAAACUGCAUCCAGUUACGAGAGAUGGCGUUACAGACGAUUACGAUAGACAUAAUCCAGAGCAUAAACAAAUAUAUAAAUUUAUAAGAAUUCUGUUUAACUCUGCUCAGCUUACGGCUGAAUGUGCCAUUAUAACAUUGGUUUAUCUUGAACGCCUACUUACUUACGCGGAGAUAGAUAUAACACCAGGAAACUGGAAACGAAUAGUUUUAGCAGCUAUUUUAUUGGCAUCUAAAGUCUGGGACGAUCAGGCAGUGUGGAACGUAGAUUACUGCCAAAUAUUGAAAGAUAUCACAGUUGAAAAUAUGAACGAAUUGGAGAGACAAUUUCUGGAGAUGCUGCAAUUCAACAUAAAUGUUCCUUCAAGUGUGUAUGCCAAAUAUUACUUUGAUCUUCGUACACUUGCGGAAGCAAACGAAUUAACAUUCCCCAGCGAGCCUCUCAGCAAGGAGAAAGCACAAAAGUUGGAAGCUAUGUCUAGAGUUUAUGAGGACAAAGUUACGGCCGAGGCUCUGCGUACUGGUAUUAAAAAAUGGUCCAGCUUAGAUAACGUAUGCAUAGGCGGACCUAGACGUAGCAUCGCUAUUCUGUCUUAAAUGUACGUGUAUGGAUGUAGGCGAAUACAAAAGCAGACGCAUGCUUACUCUUGGAUUUUAAGGGCACGAAGAAUGCCGCUAUGCAGAGGAGCAAUUACGAUUUAUUAUUAUUUUUAUAUUUUAUUAUAUGAAAGUCAGUGUACUUGUAAUGGUCGGACUCGUAAUGGAACGACUGUUAAGUCCAAUGUACACGAAAAGAGAAGGAGCUAAAAGCAUACACUAAGCUUUUAAUGCAAUGUAUAGUUGUACCAGACGAUAAGCAUAGUGUAACAUAUCUGCAAUUUCUGUCCAGAUUAUUUUCCAUUUCGCUGUUCAAUCUAUAAAGAUCUAUUUUUCAUGCAUUGAAAAAUAAGUUACUAUGCGUACGUGCAUGCUGCGUAUACCGCGAAAGUGUUUACGCAAUUUAAUCGAGCAAAUAUACUGUGCAAUGCCAAAAUGUUGAAAUUUUCUUGUAUAAAUGUAUAACUGCACGGUUUUCAUUGAUUUUAUGCGCUCUCAUUUCCUAACGAAACUAGAUGUUUAUAAAUUUUCAUGCGCAUGACUAUUUUUAUAAAUAGAGAUUCAUUAUAAAGACAAUCUUCAAGUCUUAUUGCGUCCUGUAAAUAAAUUGCCGAAUUCGUGUAAGAUUCGUAAAAAUGUGUGUAUCAUAAGCCGACUCACUUUGUUAGUAGUUGACUUAAAAUUGCAGCAGAACGCGCUUGAAGGUGAUACUUGAACAAAUCACCUUUAAGUCUUCCAUCCUGUAGUAUCUAUUAUAGAAUCUUACAAUUCUUUAACUACAUGUAAUAAGUAUUACAUUAAUAUAUUACGAUCGAUGCUUUUGUAAUAUGAAUUUGUGAUAAAUAGCUAUAUCAAUACAGAUUAACAUUGUAUUGUACAUACCCAUAUAAAA